rnacentral:misc_RNA from 1 species
GAUGAAGAACGUAGCAAAAUGCGAUAAGUAAUGUGAAUUGCAGAAUUCAGUGAAUCAUCGAAUCUUUGAACGCACAUUGCGCCCGCUGGUAUUCCGGCGGGCAUGCCUGUUCGAGCGUCAUUUCAACCCUCAAGCCCCCGGGUUUGGUGUUGGGGAUCGGCUCUGCCCUCUGGGCGGUGCCGCCCCCGAAAUACAUUGGCGGUCUCGCUGCAGCCUCCAUUGCGUAGUAGCUAACACCUCGCAACUGGAACGCGGCGCGGCCAUGCCGUAAAACCCCAACUUCUGAAUGUUGACCUCGGAUCUGGUAGGAAUACCCGCUGAACUUAAGCAUAUCAAUAAGCGGAGGA